UGGAAGUAACUCCAGAUACACAGCUCUGUCAUGCUUGACUGAGCUGUCACUCAGACUUCCUAGAGCAGAUGGCCUUCUGAUGACUGCAAUGUAUCGAGGAAACCUUGCAGACAGAUACGAGGCAUACAGCA